GACAGAGGGGGCAAGCGUUGUUCGGAAUUACUGGGCGUAAAGGGCUCGUAGGCGGCCAACUAAGUCAUACGUGAAAUCCCUCAGCUUAACUGGGGAACUGCGUGUGAUACUGGAUGGCUUGGAUUUGGGAGAGGGAUGCGGAAUUCCAGGUGUAGCGGUGAAAUGCGUAGAUAUCUGGAGGAACACCGGUGGCGAAGGCGGUCUUCUGGACGGUGACUGACGCUGAGGCGCGAAAGCGUGGGGAGCAAACGGG
rnacentral:rRNA from 1 species